rnacentral:snRNA from 9 species
AUAGCUACCUGGCGUCGGGCGGGAUACCGUGAUCAUGCAGGCGGCUCUCCCGGGUGCGGCUGCUCCAUUGCACUGCGGAGUGGUUGACCUUUGCGAUUAUUUUUAUAUUUUAGAGGUUUCACUUCUACCGUGUGUGACUUGCACAGAAGAUUGCACACACACA